rnacentral:rRNA from 1 species
AGUUUUUUAAUUGAAAGCUGGAAUGAAUGGCUGAAUAAGGAAAUAACUGUCUCUUUUUAAUUAAGUUGAACUUUAUUUUUAAGUUAAAAAGCUUAAAUUUAAUAGAAAGACGAGAAGACCCUAUAGAGUUUGAUAGAUUAAUAUUUUUAUAGUUUAGGGUUUUAUUAUAUAGAAAUAUUCAUUUAUUUUGUUGGGGUGACAAUAGAAUUUAAUUAACUUCUGGUUUUUAAUCAUUGAUUUAUGAAUAUAUGAUCCUAAUAUUUAGAUUAGAAGAAUAAAUUACCUUAGGGAUAACAGCGUAAUUUUUUUGGAGAGUUCUUAUCGAUAAAAGAGAUUGCGACCUCGAUGUUGGAUUAAAGUUUAAUUUUGGUGUAGAAGCUAAAAUAUUAAGACUGUUCGAC